AAUAAACCAAUUUUUCACUUUUUAUCGAUAAUUUUUGACUCUUUAUCUUAUUCAAAUUUUUUUGCGAUUGAUAUUUUUGUUUUUAUUAGAUGAUAAAUCAUGAAUAGUACUUUUCGUGUGACUAAUUUUUUUUCUAAUUUCCUGAAAAUUUUUAAAUAAGACGGAUGGUCCAACGUUCGACACGGAAACC
rnacentral:pre_miRNA from 1 species